UACAGAGGUCUCAAGCGUUGUUCGGAUUAAUUGGGCGUAAAGGGUGCGUAGGCGGCGCGGUAAGUCGGGUGUGAAAUCUCGGAGCUUAACUCCGAAACUGCAUUCGAUACUGCCGUGCUUGAGGACUGGAGAGGAGACUGGAAUUUACGGUGUAGCGGUGAAAUGCGUAGAUAUCGUAAGGAAGACCAGUGGCGAAGGCGGGUCUCUGGACAGUUCCUGACGCUGAGGCACGAAGGUCAGGGGAGCAAACGGG
rnacentral:rRNA from 1 species